GCACUGCUGAGGAGUCCCAUAAUAAGACGAAACGGCCGUUCAGUGC
rfam:Schistosoma mattheei strain Denwood, Zambia genome assembly, scaffold: SMTD_scaffold0006521